UACGGAGGGUGCAAGCGUUGUUCGGAAUUAUUGGGCGUAAAGGGCGUGUAGGCGGUUCGUUAAGUCUGAUGUGAAAGCCCCGGGCUCAACCUGGGAAGUGCAUUGGAAACUGGCGAACUUGGUAUCGGGAGAGGGCAGUGGAAUUCCUAGUGUAGGAGUGAAAUCCGUAGAUAUUAGGAGGAACACCGGUGGCGAAGGCGGCUGCCUGGACCGAUACUGACGCUGAGACGCGAAAGCGUGGGGAGCAAACAGG
rnacentral:rRNA from 1 species